rnacentral:lncRNA from 1 species
GCGGCAGCCUCAUAUUGCUUCUUCUCUUUCUUUCUUUCUUUGACUUUUUUUUUUUUUUUUUUUUUUUAAUGUAAUGAGAGGGAAAUGUGCCGGGUGUUUGGAAAUAGAAUUCUUCUUUUUCAGCUGCAAGUUUCCGAGCACAUACCAGGCUGCUCCGUGUCAAGACGAGCCGGGCACUUUGCGGGGACACCAGGAAUGCUAAGGACACCCCAGCGGGGAGCUCGGGAGCUCUCUCCCUGUCUGCUGCCUGCCCGCUCCCGUUCACACCCACCUGCCUG